UCAUUCUUAUGGCCAGCCAUAGCAAGAACAAAGGAAGAAAAGAAGAACAAAAACCCUAGAGUGAAAAUUCAAGAGAAAAUUGGUGUAUUUCAAGUAAUCAAGCCAUCAAAGGUGAAAUUUCUUAACUCUAGCUUGUGAUCUAUCUUUCCUAUGCAUUAUUUUGCAUUUUCCAUGGUUGAAUCACAAGAUAUCAUGAAGGAUAGUGUGCUGAUCAAACCCUAGGAGAGUGAAUUUGAUGAUUAUUUAGAUAGACUUUUAAGAUAUAUGGAUGUUUUUAGUUGUUUAUGGUGUUAAGUGUAAGAAUUAAGUUUGAAAUUCACAUAUUCCUCAUGAGUUCAUCAUUGGCCGAAUCUUCCUUGUAGAGUGUUGAUGGUGGAUUUGAUUUUAUUUCAAGUGAAUUGGUUAGGAAAUGAUGAAUUAUGGUGAGAAAAUCAAGUAGGAAAAAUCAUAGUGUUGAUGCACCGACCAUGGCCGAAUUUUCUAAAAGAAAAUGUGAGGAUGAAUCUGCCAUAUUUCAAGUUAUUUAACUUGUGUUUGAUGGUUUGGAGAAUUGGAAGAAAAAUGAAAUUAUUGGAGUUGAAUUGGACAUAUUGGCCAAUUAAUCGGGUGAUAGAUCGAGUUAGGCCAACACCGCAUGUAAACGAUAAUUCUAACAAUUUGCGUUCCAUAUCAUGCAUUCAUAUAGAGUUUAGAUUAGUUUUAUAACGAUUUAGCACCAAUGUGGUAAAUUGCUUGAUUGUGCAUUAUAUUUAGGUGGUGUGUAUUCUGGUAAAAGUAAAGAAAUAGUUCUCAAGGAUCAAGAAUCUGAGUACUCGAAACUCAAUUUCCAUUAUAGUGAGUAACCUUACUAUCGUCUUAAUUAUCUAAAGUAGUUUUUAUUCAUUUUUGUGAUUUGAUAGAAAAAUGAGUUUAAAUGGUAAAUCUUUAUGUUUUAUAAGCAAAAUAUGAUUAAAUGAAAUGAUUUUAGAAAAUUGUCUUGAAAUUGACAGAUGGUUUUGAAAAUGGAAUAAUUGGAGACUAAUUGCUAUGUUAUAAAUCAUGGUUUGAAUUGAAUGGCUUAUGAUAAUAUUGGCAUGAAUGGUUGGAUUUGGUAAAUGUGAUGAAAAAGUAUGAAUUGUUGAUUUGCCUUGAGAGGCUGUAAAAUAAAAUAAUUGUCAUGUCAUGCUGUUGAAUUUUAUUGAAUUGGUGGGUUAUAAUUGGUCGCUGCAGUGGACGGGUUCCAUAGACCAGCUUAUUAGAGGGGCACGGUAACCUUAUUAUAUUCAUAUCUCAGUAUGAGAGGCGCGGUUGGAUAACUCCUAAGGUUAAAACUUUAGAGUUCACUUCACGCCAAACCACCACGUGAGGGUGAACUCAACCAACGCCAAGAAACAACUAUGUUUUCAAAAUAAAAAUAUGAUUUAUGCAUACAUGACUUUUUAACAGCCUUGGCAGACUCGGUUGGGAUAGCCCUCGGCCAAGGUAUCCUUGAUAACUGAGUAUGAGAAUGAUUUUGGCACGAGCCAAACUUUUCAGGAAAUCAUAAGCCUUGUUGUUUAUUUUGGUGAAAUGAAUCUAUUUUAUCUUAUUAAAAUGAGUUCGAAAUGCUGAGAAUCAUUUUUAUGCUAAUCUAUUUUAUCUGUCUCCAUUUACUCAGCUUUAGAUAUUUUAGAUGGUAUUUGUUUACUCACUGGGAUUAUAUAAUCUCACCACCCUCCUUUCCACUCAUUUCAGGCUCAGGAUAGUCGAUAGAUAGCUCACUUUGUUGACGGCUAUAGUUGGACUUGCAUCCUAAAAAACUAUAGGUUUACUGCUUUUGAUACUUUUGGUCGUUCGUGGGCCCACAUGUCACUGUAAAUUAAAUCUUAUGUUUUGGUUAUCUGUAUUACAGUAUGUAUGAAUUUAUUUAGCUUUUACACUACAAAAAUUAUUUACCGGG
rnacentral:lncRNA from 1 species